rnacentral:rRNA from 1 species
CACGUAGGGGGCGAGCGUUGUUCGGAAUUACUGGGCGUAAAGGGCAUGUAGGCGGUUUUGUAAGACUGGCGUGAAAGGCUGCAGCUUAACUGUAGCAUGGCGCUGGUAACUACAAGACUUGAGUCACGGAGAGGGAGCUAGAAUUCCAGGUGUAGGGGUGAAAUCUGUAGAUAUCUGGAAGAAUACCAGUGGCGAAGGCGAGCUUCUGGCCGAUGACUGACGCUGAGGUGCGAAAGCGUGGGUAGCAAACAGG